rnacentral:lncRNA from 1 species
UGAAAUCAAAGAAAUCACAUUCCAUUCUUAUGUGAUGUAGGCCCAUGCAGUGCUCAAAUUUCAUUCACCCGCAUUGCUCAUUCUUUCUUCUGCGCGAUUCCUCUUUCUCCAUCUCUCACUAUCAAAAUCCUUAGUUCGCUCUCUGUAAAAGGGCAAAGUUGGAAUAAAAAGGAAAUUUCAUUCAUUUAUUGGAAAUCAUGGUAAAAUGCAUAUUGUUUGAGAUACAAAUCAAAAUAAUGGAUUACAAGAAAAUAGUGUAAAAAACUACACCUUUUGGAUACAAUUGACUUUUUGAUCCACAAUUUACAUUUGAUCAACUAUUGACCAUUGACUCGAUUUUGACUCCUGAAUUUUCCUAGACCUAUUCUACAAGCAUUUGAUUAAAAUUUUCAUCAUUAUUCAUCAAAUAUGAUUUAUGUCAUGAUAGUUACAAAUGCUAAUUCUAUCUUCCAUCAAACUUCACUUCCAUGACUUGUUCUUUACUUUCCAAUGUUGCUUCAAGUUUAUUAUUCCACUACAAUGUUCACUUUACUACAAGGAAGAAGGUACACCAAGUUAUACAUUCAUACCAUGAAUAUAAAUCAUCAAGAAGUCAUGAAAAACUCAAGAAACAAAAGGAAAAUUUUACACUAUUCAUUAAAUUCAAUACUUGUUUUUUCAACACUUUCUAACAUUGAUUAAUGCCCAAAAAUCAGAAUUUGAUCCCUACAUUUCCACCAUUCAAUAAUGCUUUUUUGAAAUACAAAAUCACUUCUCAAAGGCACUUAAAGUCAUGGGACAAUUCACCAAAAAUUCAAGGCAAAAGUGGUUUAAAACCAAAGGCAAAAAACAUUUAAAUUCAAGUUAAUUACUACUGACAUUUUGCCUUACAUCCUAACUUGGUACUUCUUAAAAAUUCUAAUACUUCUACCUCUAACUACCUAUGCAUCCACAUUCCAUUCAACCUCAUAUUCAUUUUUACAACAAAAUUACAACCAUUAUAAACAUCCAUUCCAUACAUAACCACACAUCAUUUCAAAUUCAACAUAAACUUUACAUUACAAAAAUAGUCAUGUCCAAAUCCAAUCAAAAUUCCAUGGGCAAUCCAAAACCAUUUACAUUCCAAAAUUACAACAAAAAUUACAUUCACAAGGAUAAUAUUCAACUUCACAACCUCUUGAAUUGCAUAUGAAGGUUGCUCCUUAACUUAAACAGAAAAAGGAAUGUAAUUUGGUCCAUGGACAAUGCUCAUUUCAACAACCUGUUGCAGCCAUGAGAUUAUGAAUUUCCAAUUGACCUUCAAGCAAAAAAAAAAAUCACUCUAUAUCAGUAAUAAACUAAAACAGAAACAUAAUUUUCUCUCUUGUUCCAUAAUAAUAAACUUCUUUCAACAAUUCAAAACUCAAUUUCUAACUUCUAAUUCCAUCACCUAACAAACCUAACCGAUUUUCGUAACCGUUUCUAACUUCCAUAACAUAAUGGACCUGGAUCAACUUCAUUCCUCAAAACCGAAACUUCAAUACUUCAAGAACUUCAACAACCUUCCAACAAAACCUAAUAAUCACCCUCUAAGAAAAUUUGAAAAAAAUGAUAAUAUAGCAAACUCUAACUUCAACCCCUUCAAUCACAAAACGGAACCCUUUUCUAACCUUCUUCACAUUCCAACAACCUGAAAACAGAUUAAAACGAACCCCUCACUUCCUAACUGAAUUCCCCUUUCCAUGACAAUCCAAAAGCGCUCCCCUAUCUUCAACUCCUAACUUCACCUUCAACCAUCUUCCAAAUCCUGCAACUUCUUCAAACCCUCUCCUCAAUCAUACACAACCCCUAACCGCUCCAACCUCCAUAACAGAAUUUCCAUUACCUCCUCACCUUCAACUUCACUCUGCAAUCCCCUAACCUCAUUGCUUCUAAAACCACACAACUCCAUAACUAAAUUCCAAUCACCCACAACAAUUCCAACCGAAUACAAAAUUGCGACAAAAAUUUCUCAGAAAGAAAAUUGAUACGGAAGGAAGAAGAAGCACAAUACAGAGAAAAAGUGAGAGCAUCGAAGCAAGGGCAUACCAAGGGAGUUUCGAAGUAGAUUAUCUCAACAAAUACAUGGCACGAAUCGAAGCCACUCUUCGUCAUCAACAACAUGUUCAUCUUCAUCAUGAAUACGAAGCUUACACGCGAACGGAACCUUUGUCAUUCAUCUUCAGUACACUGUGAUUGAAGAACGAUGAACAUCAACGACACAUCGAAUCCGGUAGGUCUCUUCUCCUCUCGAUAUUCUGAUUUCGUGAGCUUCGAGAGAGUAUUAUCGUUACGCCGUUGUAUUUUGUUUCAUUUGAAAUCCGGUCUUGGGAAAAACAUUGAAGGCGAUGGUGAGAUUUCAUGGCGGCGUAGGUGAAUUGGGAGAGAAUUCCAGCGUCACGAAUUGGGGCUAGGUCAUGGAAGAGGUGCUUUCAUGUGGGAUCCGGUUUGGGUCGGUCAUGUGGGUAUUGAAGCUGGUUUUGGGAAUUCUUUGGGGGAGACAUGGGCUUUUGGCCCCAAUGGUUUUAUUAAUUUUUAUCGAAAAUUUUACCCUAUACCCCUACAAUUGUAUCCAUACCCCUACAUUUAAAUUUUUUUACCAAAAUACCCUCAUAUAAAUAGGGUAUAUUUUCCUUUUCAAA